rnacentral:lncRNA from 1 species
CAAAGACCUUUAUUUACAACUCUCAUGUGGUUACCUCUGAACCUCCAGAAGGAAGCCUCCCUAAUCCCUGAAUUCUGGUCUCUGUCUUGUUUUACUGCUCUUAAAGAUUACAAGAUAAGUUACCAAUAAAAUAGGCGCUGAGCUGUUCUCGGGGAGUUGUGCGUCUCCGGGAGCUCUCCCCGUGCUCUCUCUCAUACUCCUAUGUGUUUCGAGAAUUAAUCAGUGCGAAACUGCUGCAAUUGGCACCGAAACAGGGACCUCCUGAAAGUUUGCUUCAUAUCCCCUCCUCAAGCCCGAGCAAGGGCAAAGGAUAUCUGCUCAUCCAGGACAUUGAUUGCCUCAUUUUCUUGGCUCACCCGCACUGAGGCGAUGCUAACGCUGUUCCUCUGACCAGAUCAGAAAUAUUCACUAAAGGAAACAAGAAGAGGGGAACUGUGGGAACCAUGUUUUACCGUUUUCUCAGAAAUGUAUCCUGGAAUUUAACCUUACUCAGUCCCUGUUUCUUGCUUGCUCUCCCCUACCCUUAAGUUAGACGUUCUGGCU